UAGCGGUGUUAGGGCACUAAGAAUUUUGAUUUCUUAAGAGAGGUUCAAUGCCUCCUGA
rnacentral:tRNA from 1 species